AGCUUGUUUGAUGAACUUAUUGAAAAAUCAAAUUCAGAAGAGUUUUAAUAAGAUUAACUGAACACUUACUUGGUUUGAACAAACAGGGUGGGAAAGUGAAGUUGCAGUCUAUAGCGAUGCCGCUUUCUGAAUUUGACCAUGCAGAUAAGGGAGAUGUGCCGCAUGAUUCAUCUCCCUCGUCGGUCUAAAGUUGGACAAAAUGGACUACGCAAAAAGGAGAAAACAGUUUCAACUUUCACCAAUCAUAGAUAGAUAAAAAAUAAAAAUAAGUUAGAAUCACCUUACCAGUGGUAAUAUAAAACCAAA